CUAACGCAUUAAGUUCCCCGCCUGGGAGUACGGCCGCAAGGCUAAACUCAAAGGAAUUGACGGGGGCCCGCACAAGCAGCGGAGCAUGUGGCUUAAUUCGACGCAACGCGAAGAACCUUACCAAGGCUUGACAUAUACCGGAAAGCAUCAGAGAUGGUGCCCCCCUUGUGGUCGGUAUACAGGUGGUGCAUGGCUGUCGUCAGCUCGUGUCGUGAGAUGUUGGGUUAAGUCCCGCAACGAGCGCAACCCUUGUUCUGUGUUGCCAGCAUGCCCUUCGGGGUGAUGGGGACUCACAGGAGACUGCCGGGGUCAACUCGGAGGAAGGUGGGGACGACGUCAAGUCAUCAUGCCCCUUAUGUCUUGGGCUGCACACGUGCUACAAUGGCCGGUACAAUGAGCUGCGAUGCCGCGAGGCGGAGCGAAUCUCAAAAAGCCGGUCUCAGUUCGGAUUGGGGUCUGCAACUCGACCCCAUGAAGUCGGAGUUGCUAGUAAUCGCAGAUCAGCAUUGCUGCGGUGAAUACGUUCCCGGGCCUUGUACACACCGCCCGUCACG
rnacentral:rRNA from 2 species